rnacentral:rRNA from 1 species
UACGUAGGUGGCAAGCGUUACUCGGAAUCACUAGGCGUAAAGCGCAGGUAGGAGGUUUGGUAAGUCUAUUGUGAAAGUUCCCGGCUUAACUGGGAGAGGUCAAUGGAAACUACCAGGCUGGAGUGCGGUAGAGGUAGCUGGAAUUCCCGGUGUAGCGGUGAAAUGCGUAGAUAUCGGGAGGAAUACCUAUGGCGAAAGCAGGCUACUGGACCGUCACUGACUCUGAUCUGCGAAAGCUAGGGGAGCAAACAGG